UGGGGAAUAUUGGACAAUGGACCAAGAGUCUGAUCCAGCAAUUCUGUGUGCACGAUGAAGUUUUUCGGAAUGUAAAGUGCUUUCAGUUGGGAAGAAAGAAAUGACGGUACCAACAGAAGAAGUGACGGCUAAAUACGUGCCAGCAGCCGCGGUAAUACGUAUGUCACGAGCGUUAUCCGGAUUUAUUGGGCGUAAAGUGCGUCUAGGUGGUUAUGUAAGUCUGAUGUGAAAAUGCAGGGCUCAACUCUGUAUUGCGUUGGAAACUGUAUAACUAGAGUACUGGAGAGGUAAGCGGAACUACAAGUGUAGAGGUGAAAUUCGUAGAUAUUUGUAGGAAUGCCGAUGGGGAAGCCAGCUUACUGGACAGAUACUGACGCUGAAGCGCGAAAGCGUGGGUAGCAAACAGGAUUAGAUACCCUGGUAGUCCAUGCCGUAAACGAUGAUUACUAGGUGUUGGGGGUCGAACCUCAGCGCCCAAGCAAACGCGAUAAGUAAUCCGCCUGGGGAGUACGUACGCAAGUAUG
rnacentral:rRNA from 1 species